AACGAACGCUGGCGGCAGGCCUAACACAUGCAAGUCGAGCGCCCCGCAAGGGGGGCGGCGGACGGGUGAGUAACGCGUGGGAACGUGCCCUUUGCUACGGAAUAGCCCCGGGAAGCUGGGAGUAAUACCGUAUAAGCCCUACGGGGGAAAGAUUUAUCGGCAAAGGAUCGGCCCGCGUUGGAUUAGGUAGUUGGUGGGGUAAUGGCCUACCAAGCCGACGAUCCAUAGCUGGUUUGAGAGGAUGAUCAGCCACACUGGGACUGAGACACGGCCCAGACUCCUACGGGAGGCAGCAGUGGGGAAUCUUAGACAAUGGGCGCAAGCCUGAUCUAGCCAUGCCGCGUGAGCGAUGAAGGCCUUAGGGUUGUAAAGCUCUUUCGUGGGGGAAGAUAAUGACUGUACCCCAAGAAGAAGCCCCGGCAACUCCGUGCCAGCCGCCGCGGUAA
rnacentral:rRNA from 1 species